ACUCUAGUAUUGACCUCAAUCCACAUGUGUUGAUGUAGAUUGGAGUGUAAAUUAGUUUAAGUUACACCCCAAUCCACAUCAAUACAUGUGGAUUGAGGUCAAUAAUAGA
rfam:Zea mays cultivar B73 chromosome 6, whole genome shotgun sequence.